AGGACGAACGCUGGCGGCGUGCCUAACACAUGCAAGUCGAACGCGAAAGCCCCGCAAGGGGUUAGUAGCGUGGCAAACGGGUGAGUAACACGUGGGUGACCUGCCUUCGAGUGGGGGAUAACGUUCCGAAAGGGACGCUAAUACCGCAUAACAUCCUGCCUUUGAACAGGCGGUGAUCAAAGCUGGGGACCGCAAGGCCUAGCGCUGGAAGAGGGGCCCGCGCCUGAUUAGCUAGUUGGUGGGGUAACGGCUCACCAAGGCGACGAUCAGUA
rnacentral:rRNA from 1 species